GUGCCCCACCCCGGGCACACGAGGCCUCCACUGCGGUUGCGCAGCCUGCCGAAGAGCGUGCGGCUUCUACUGCGGCUGCGCAAGCUCGACGCGCGCACUCUUGUCUGCUUACGAGGGCUCCUCCCUUCAGCUUUGGUCCCUCGGGGCGUCUGGGCAGCCUACGCUUUCCGUAAACACUGGGAUGCCGGAGCUCAGGCAUCCCAGACAGGAGGAAGUGUGUACUCACACCAGCCAGGAGGAAACAAGCCUGCCUGGGAGGACAGACGAUCAGCCCUGGCUGUCCCUCAGGAGCGGGGGGCCUCCAAGGCACACUGCCCACUGGGUCAAGGAGUAUCCAGGAGGAGUUAGAAGCAUGACCCAUCUGCCUGGCACCAGCACCUGGGGCUGCCAGGCAGCCACCCCUGCAGCUGUGUUGACAGGACCUGGCAGAGGGACUGACCCACCUUUGGAAAAUGACACCAGCAAUAUCAGGAUGUGUCAACUGGAUUUAUGCUAAGAAAAUAGGAUUUUUGGUGUUCCUCUGUUUCCCAAAGUUUGAGACACUUUCAGACACUCUGCUUUGCGGUUGUGGCCGAUGUUACCCAUGGGUGGGACUUUUGCUUUGCUCUAGAUUUUUGUAACACCCUGGGGAGUUUCAGGGGCCAAUGCUGAGAGAAGACCACAGGCUGACACAUCAUGAGACCCUCUGGGCAGGUCCACUAAGAGCAUGUAUUCUAGAACAUGCAGGGCUUGAAGCUUCACAAGAUAUUCAGUGCACUCCUUACAGAUCCUGUCAAAUGUGGACCGGGUGGUGUCAUCGCACCACCAUCAUCCCCUUGUUACCCCUGAGAACACAGCUUCAGAGAGGGGCGGCGCUGGCUUUCAGGCCGUUCAGCAGGGAUGAGUAGAAGGCAUGGAUGAACAUCUUAGAAGCAGCCACUGGCACAGGCCACAGAGACACGAGGACACACUGAGCGCCGGCAGCCAGGAAGGCCCUUGUCAGCGCGAUGACCCCGUCGGCUGUGACUUUGCUGUUGGACUCCUGGGAGGAGCCAAGCACCACCAGCUUCACAGGCAGCUGCAGGUCCAGGACGUCGGCGGCAGUGCCUAACUUACUGAGAAUCAUGCCUGCUGUGAUGAGCCCUUGGAAACCAUCAGGACUGGAUGGUAGGGGUCCUGAGAGGAUUGGGGGAGGAGGCCUUGAUAUGACAGAGUGGACAGAGGCCGUGGAACCCAGGACAGCCAGCCUGCUCCACAAUCCUCAUCCCCACAGACCUUCAUGUGUGGCUCCUAAAUAAGAGGAAACCCACUCCUGAUAAGUCAGGGGCUUUGAAAAGUGAUUUUGUUUAAAUGGUGCAAACAAGCAAGCCAAUCUUGGGGAGACAGGGCUAAACUUAAGUCCUUUAAGAAGCUCUACAUACUGACAAGAUUCUAGUUCCCUUCCACCUUAUAUGCUGCAAAGUAAAAAGUAUCACUGAAUGAGAAAAUCAGCAUAAAGAAGCCCAAUAAUGUCUGCCUGAGUUUCCCCUAUGAUGACUUUUGGUACUUUUUGGGAAACAUUAAGUAUGAAGUUAUUUCAAAAUAAUUUUUUGGUGCCUCUGCUUGGUGAUGCCUUAAACUCUGGGUAAGAGAAACACCAGGUGCCUGUCAGGAGAUGGCCUUUUCCAGGUUUCUGGUUAAGCUACAAACAGCUAACUGGCUGCUGUCAUCAAAAUAAAAGCUUUCUGAAGGUGGAGGCAUCUGAUACCCAGAGUGCUGCUAUCAGCCGGCACGGUGGGCCGCUGGGUGGCAGGAGCGUCGAGAAGGCCAGCUCGCUUCCUAUCUGGGAUUCAGAAUCAGCUAUGGAAACUUGAGAGACCUAGAGAAAAUAACUUCUUUCACUUUGAACUGAUUCUUUGCUUCAUAAGAAAAGUAUUAUCCAGCCACAAAAAUGGUCAAAAUUCAGAUCUACAAAAGCCUGUCAGGCAGAAACUGACCCCACUUAGGCCACGCCAAUGAGCAAGUCAUCAAAGCAGCCAAGACAGGUCCUGUGGGGGCCACCCAUGCACAGGGCCCAGCCUCGGGUCCUAACCCCGCCUAUGCUUUCCGCCACCAUAAAGAGGCCCAUCUGGGUAAGACCUGUCCCGCCUGCUGUGGGGUAUUAGGGCAGAUGGGGUCUGAGGGGUCUGAGGGCUCUGAGAGCAGCUGGCAGCUCAAGGACAUCCGGAGUUGGAGGAUGGAGCAAUGCAGGCCCUUGUGGUAAAGACAGUCCUGCAGCCGCGCAGGCAGGGAUGCUGCAAGUGGAGUGCCAGGCGGGUGCGGAGCCCUGUGGGACUGUGGAGGGGUCAGAGGGAAGCCAGGAUUUUGGGGUCUCUGAGAGUUUGGAGAAGGGGAAGAAGAUUAAAGCUUGUUUCAAAAGUUUCUAAUCAGGUGGGCAGGGCCAAGGGUGGCUGUGGGGUGAGACCCAUGACUCAGGGUGGCCCACUGUUACUCUAUUGAUUUUUGGGCGUUUUUUUCCAAAUUGAUUAUUCUUGCUGAAUGAGACCUGAGUCCUUGACUGUCCCCUUAAAGCCACCUGACUUGUUUUCAGUUCCACUGGCCUGUCGGGCUGUUUUCUACUCAACUCCACUCUUGCUUGUCUGCCCUCCCUGCCUGGGGCCCAGCCAGCAGUCAGCUCAAGGGCCAGAUGAAUUGGGUGGCUGUGCUCUGCCCACUGGGCAUCGUGUGGAUGGUGGGUGACCAGCCCCCUCAGGUGCUCAGCCAGGCCUCAAGCCUUGCUGUGUACCUCAGAGCAGCUCCGUACCCUGAUGUCACAGCAAAGAAACUUAGACAUGACACAAACUGUGGCUUCCCAAGGCAGCAAAGAAUGGCCAGGGGUCAUGAGGGCCGUGCCCCACUUUUGGACAGACCUACUCUAAAGUCACGCUACCUGCGUGCAAAUCAUAAAAUCAACACUUUUGAGGAGAUCACAGCUAUGCCUUCGUAACACAGCCCAGUCCGACCAGAUAGACGGUGCCUCGUGACCCGAAAACAAGCCCCCGGCCCCCCACCAUGUGUGUGAGCCUUACCUUGGACUGCACGCUGAGGGAGCGGAUGGAAGGGACAGCAAGGAGGCCGAAGCGCUCGUAGAGGUACUCAUUGGAGGAGCUUCCCUUCAGGAGGGCGAAAGGAAUGAGGUAGAGCUCCCCCUCCAGAACCAGGAUGAGCUGCCGGUGCCGGCCCACGGGGCCGCUGGAGUGCAUCAGGCCCUAUGGAGCAAGCACGGAGAGGCUGACAUGGGUGGCCCAGCAGGCAGGGGUUUCAGGCACCAGGACAACCCUGAGCCCUAGCCUGGAUGACACAAGCACGAGCAGGUGAGGCCUGUGGGGGUGUGGGGCGCCAUGGGGCAUGGGCCGAGUUGCAGCCCUGCAGGAGCGGCACCAACUGGCAUGCUCGCUUGUGGACUGGCAAGGGCUGGCCUGGCAGCAUCCAUCUGCCUCACAGUCCUGAGAAGGUUAGAGGACAGUUUCUUGAAGUUCACAAGAACCUGAAGUGGGUUGGAGACCGGUCUGUACCGCACAGGCACCCUGAGAAGGGGUGGGAAUGGCCCCUCUCAAAACAAGAUCUGUUUUCCAUUUCAAUGGACAAGAGGCUAGAAAAUCACAGUGAGGACGGGAGGUCUGGGGGCUGGCAUGACAGCCCCUGUAGAAGGGGAUGGGCUGGGUUCUAGGAUCUUCCGUGACCUCCUCUGAGAAAGAGUGGCCCCUUGGCUCUGGGCUUGGGAGGUGCCGUCCCCACUUGUUCCCUCUGGGGAUGUCAGGGGACCCAAUGCAUGGAUGACUCCCAUCCCUCUUGAAAGGCCGAGCAUGAGGACUCGAGGCAGGGUGUGCACAGGGCCACAGCGGACACAGCCUCAUUCCUGUUCAUUGCAGAACAAGGCUAAGGGCGCGGGCAUCUUAAUGAGAGCAGCAGGCAACAAUCCUGGAAGCUGGGUCCACACAGACUGCGGUGAACAAAGAGGUGGCGUGGAAGCUGCUGCUGCAGCCCAGAGCCUGCCAAGAAGGUCCCAGGUCCACAGGGCCUGCGCAACACUGGGUGCCAGGGGUGGGGCUGGCCUGCCCCCCAACCCCAUCUGCUGAGGAGUGGCUGACAAGCGGACACCCACCAGGGUGCCACUCGCUUGUGCCUGGGGAAGCAAAUGUGCUCGCUUGACCCGUCUGAUGUGCUGCCGUGGGCACUUGACUGAGAGUGGCAGAGCACUAGGCUAACCCAAAGUGACACAUGCCUGGCGGGAUGUUCAGUCUCUGUAAACCCAUAUGGUUUUUUUUUUUCUUUCCUUUAAAAAAAAUUUCUAGCUCCAUCUAGCGAAAGCAGAAAUAAAAAGUAUUAGGCCAA
rnacentral:lncRNA from 1 species